UAAACACGAAACCAUGAGUUUCCAUAUCCAACUUCGAUCGUUCGGCUUAUUUAAAAAUUUUUAUGAUUAGUAUUUUUAUUGUUAUUAGAUAAUAAAAUAUGAAUAAUAUUUUAUAUGUGACUUAUUUUUUUCAAAAUUUUUGAAUAAGCUGAAGAUUAAAUUUAAAUAUGAAAACUCAUGGUUACGUUUAAA
rfam:Oryza punctata chromosome 11, whole genome shotgun sequence.